GACGAACGCUGGCGGCGUGCUUAACACAUGCAAGUCGAACGGAAAGGCCCCUUUGGGGGUACUCGAGUGGCGAACGGGUGAGUAACACGUGAGUAACCUGCCCUUGACUUCGGGAUAACUUCAGGAAACUGGGGCUAAUACCGGAUAGGAAUCCUUGCUGCAUGGUGGGGGUUGGAAAGCUUCGGCGGUUUUGGAUGGACUGGCGGCUUAUCAGCUUGUUGGUGGGGUAGUGGCUUACCAAGGCUUUGACGGGUAGCCGGCCUGAGAGGGCGACCGGCCACAUUGGGACUGAGAUACGGCCCAGACUCCUACGGGAGGCAGCAGUGGGGAAUAUUGCACAAUGGGCGGAAGCCUGAUGCAGCAACGCCGCGUGCGGGAUGACGGCCUUCGGGUUGUAAACCGCUUUCAGCAGGGGCGAAGCUUGUGGUGACGGUACCUGCAGAAGAAGCACCGGCUAACUACGUG
rnacentral:rRNA from 1 species